rnacentral:rRNA from 1 species
GUGGGGAAUAUUGGACAAUGGGCGCAAGCCUGAUCCAGCCAUGCCGCGUGAGUGAUGAAGGCCCUAGGGUUGUAAAGCUCUUUCAGUGGGGACGAUAAUGACGGUACCCACAGAAGAAGCCCCGGCUAACUUCGUGCCAGCAGCCGCGGUAAUACGAAGGGGGCUAGCGUUGUUCGGAUUUACUGGGCGUAAAGCGCACGUAGGCGGAUCGUUAAGUCGAGGGUGAAAUCCUGGAGCUCAACUCCAGAACUGCCUUCGAUACUGGCGAUCUUGAGUCCGGAAGAGGUGAGUGGAACUCCUAGUGUAGAGGUGGAAUUCGUAGAUAUUAGGAAGAACACCAGUGGCGAAGGCGGCUCACUGGUCUGGUACUGACGCUGAGGUGCGAAAGCGUGGGGAGCAAACAGGAUUAGAUACCCGGGUAGUCC